GCUGGGAAACCCCUCCAGAGAAGUCUGGUUUUUUAGGUUGUUUAUCCUUUCUCUGGGUCCCUGCUCCCAGGCAAUCCCAAGGCAGGGAAGGUUCUGCCAGAAGAGGGUCCUGGCCACACUGCUCAUGAUGGUGCCCUUGGUUGGUGCCAAGGACGAGGCCACGAUACAGAAGGCGAGAAAUACAGGCAACCACCCCAGAACAGGAUCCCUGCGGAGAGCACUCCUGAAAUCACAUUCAGGGUCAACCGUUGUGCCACGUGUUUGAAAGACAGAAAACGGUUCAUAAAGUAGGAUCGGCAACUUUCAAACGUAAGCCAGGUGCAAAGAAGACUUACUUAUGACCUGACGGGAAGAGCUAUAUGAUAAAUAAAGAAUAAACACUGGCCGGGCGCCUGCGACCUGCCAGGCCCCAGUCCGACC